ensembl:misc_RNA Vault Vault RNA
GGGCUGGCUUUAGCCUAGCGGUUCCUUCAACUCUGGCUUCCCAGCCGCCCGGGCCACUGGCUUCCAUCAGUCCAGUGGUUCGAGACCCAUGGGUGCUCUCCAGUCCUUUA